rnacentral:lncRNA from 1 species
AAGGAAACUUCAAAUAUAUCUUGUGGUUUAAAUUGUAUUAAGUUAGUACUAUUUAGUUUCACACUUUCUCACUUUAGUAUUCUGUGGUUUAAUAUUUCGUUAAAUUAUAUACUCUGAAAUGAAUAAUAAAAAGAGAAAAUUGAAACCUCAGGGUAGUAACUUGAUAAAAAAAAAAAAUCAUAGGGUACUAACUUGAUACAUUUUAAACUAUAGGGUACUAAAAUGAGAAAGUACGAAACCACAGGGUACUAAAUUGAUACACUUUAAACUAAAGAGUACUAAAGUGAGAAAGUGUAAAAUCACAGAAUGGGUAUUUGAAGUUUCCCAAAAAAAAAAAUUAUUUAGUAUC